GGUUAAUGAGGAUGGCGAGGCCUGCGUGCGGCCUACGUGCGGCCUGUGGGGCUCAAAUGGGGCCUUGUGUGGGGCCUGGUAUCGAGACUGGGGGGGGGCCCUAUGGGGGGCUCAAUAUGGGGCCUACGUGGGGCCCUAUAUGGGGGCCUAUGGGGCUGUAUCUAGGCCUAUGUGGGGCCUAUGGGGCUCACAUGGGCCUAUGUGGGGCUUUGUAUGGGGUCAAUGUGUGGGGCCAUAUUUGGGUCCUAUGUGGGGCUCAAUAUGGGGGUCUAUGUGGGGCCCUAUGUGGGGCCUGUGUCCAGGCCUAUGUGGGGCCAUAUGUGGGACCUAUGGGGCUCAAAUGGGGCCUAUGUGGGGCUUUAUAUGGGGUCAAUGUGUGGGGCCUAAAUGGGUCCUAUGUGGGGCCUUAUAUGGGGCUCAAUAUGGGGUCUAUGUGGAGCCCUAUAUGGGGCUGAUAUGGGGCCCUAUGUGGGGCCUUAUAUGGGGCCUGUGUCUAGGCCUAUAUGGGGCCAUAUGUGGGGCCUGUGGGGCUCAAAUGGAGCCAAUGUGUGGGGCCCUAUAUGGGGCACUUAUGGAGGCCUCCAUGGGGCAGAUGUGGGGCCCUAUAUAGUGCCUCUAUGGGGCAUAUAUUGGGCCCUAUAUGGGGGCCUCUAUGGGUCACAUGUGGGCCAUUUAUGCGACCCUACAUAGGGUCUUUCUGGGGCAUUUAUGGGGGCGCUAUACGGGGCCCCUGUAGCCCCACGAGGCGCCUGUAGGGGGCGCUCUCCACGAGGCACAAUGGAGUUCAAUGGCGAACGACCCCCAUUGAAAGCAACGGGGCGGUGUGGGGCUGAGCCCCAUCGCUCACUGCGGACCCCCCCGCCCAGAUCCGGGCCCCCCCGCGCUGGAACGGCGUCUGCGGGCGGUGGAAGCGGAGGUGGCGGUGCUGAAAGCGGCCCUGGGGGACGCGCUGCGGCGUAUCGGCCUCUGGGAGGGGCGGCUGCCCCACGGUGAGAACCCCCCCCACAAAGGGGGAAAAAGUGUUGGGGCUGGGGGGGCCAUGUGCCACGUGGUGGG
rnacentral:lncRNA from 1 species